ACUGUGUCACAUGCCCAUCAAUAGGUAGCAGAGAGGAUAUAGGCUACAUCUACACUCAGUGUUCUGAUAUAUGGAUAUCUAAAUGAUUAGUAGCCUAGCAUU
ensembl:snoRNA LOC120097262 small nucleolar RNA SNORA17